AUGGAGGUGGAAUGUUUAAACUUCACAUCUUUAAUGCCUCUUUUUGCUCUAUUUAUGUGUAUUCAUUUGUUUUGAGCUUUCUUUUCUUGAUUUGAUUUGUGGGUUAUUAUUGUUCGGUGCUUGGGGGUUGUAAUAAUAUUGGGUUUUUUUAUAUCCAAUAAAUCCCCGGGUAUGAUGUUAACAUGAAUAAUGUAUUUUAUAGUCAUAGGCCGAUAAAUGAAAUAAAUCUAACAACCAAGUCAAUGAGGUCCAUCUAGUCCAAUUGCAUUCCCUCUUGGAUAGGUUGAAUCUUAGCCCGUCUACCUUUCUUAAUGGUCCUAUUAAAAAGCCUAACCCUAGCAUACUUAUAAGGAACAAACCCUAGCCACUUUCUAGUAUGAUUUGUGUGAUUUGUGAGAAACAUAGAGGAAAUUCGGCUGCCCUUUGAAGAGUGAAAAAAAGCCCCUUUGAAAUGCCAAAAUUGGUUGAUUACUUUGUGUCAUUUGUGGUUCCCUCAUAGCCUACCUUCGUGGCUACAAAUCAUCACCAUUUCUUAUCUUUUAUGGGUAAAAUUGAUAGCAAUCAAGGUGAAUUAUAUUGGUUGUGGAAUGGAGCCGGUUGGUUUGAUUAUUGGUAGAGAAAGGUACGUUGAAUUGAGCCCGAAAAAUACCGAUUUGAAGAUGCUUGGAGAGAGCUUCCACACAAAUAAGUCAGUGGUGGUGGAAAAUUUAAAGUCUACAUCACCUCCGUGAUGUGUUUAUUUUUGUUCUAUUGUUGUGUGUUCAUUUUAUUUGAGCUUUCUUUUCUUUAUUUGAUUUGUGGGUUUUUCUUGUUUGGUGCUUGGGGGGUAGCGAUGAGUGAAUGGUGGUGGAAUGUUUUAAUUUCCAUUUUUGGUAGGACAUUUUCCUGUUUCUUUGUUUUCAUAUGUUUUGAGUUUUCUAUUCUUGAUUUGAUUUGUUGAUUUUUCUUGUUUCGUGGUUUGGAAAAAGUGAAUGGCGGAGGCAUAUUGAAUAUGAGAAAUUCGAAAAAUGGAGAUCCAGAGCCAGGAAGGUGCAAGAGAAUGGAUGGCAAGAAAUGGAGGUGCUCUAAAGAUGUGGCUCCAACCAGAAAUGAUGUGACCGCCACCUGCAUGGAGCCACCCCCGUUCAACAAAGCCUGUGAAAUAAAAAAACAAUGCGUCUUUCAACACCAAUCCACAAGCUACCAGUGCUGCCUCGAACCAGUUUCUUGCAUCAAAUGAGACUCCUCUGCUAUACGAUCCCAAAACUGAUCUAAAUCUUUUUACAGCCUCUUGCAAGACUUAGCUGUUUAUUUAUGUAUUGUGCUUGAUAUUAUUGAUACAGCUACUUAAUUGUAUGAUGCCAAGUAAAUUUUUUACAGUUUGGAAUCAGAGGAUUUCUCUAAUAAUGUGUUGUCUACUUAAGUUUCCAAGUUUGAUAGUAGGACAACAGGACUUACGAUCUACAUCGUUGAGCAACCUCAAACAAUUCUGCUGAAGGAGGUGACAGAUACAUCCCAAGGGAAACCACAGUUAGUAAGUAACAUAAAUGCCUGCACGGCUGUGGCAGAUGUGGUUCGGACCACCCUCAGUCCAAGGAGUAUGGACAAGUUGAUACAUGAUGAGAAGGGAAAUACCACUAUUCUUGGAUGAAAAAGCUAUUGAAUUAACUGAAACAAGGCUUCGAUUUUCUUGCAUUGAACAGGAUUAUCUAAUCCCGAGUGUUGCUGCAUUUAAUGAGAUUGAGGUAUGAACUUCUUGAACCUGAUGGGCUGCUUUCAGCAAAAAGCUGGAAAUUUGUGAUGGCUCAGUCGGUUGUAAUGGAAGCCACAAGAAAUUUCUGGAAGGAAACUGCUUUUAGAGCUAAUUUAUUGAUAGGUGGUUAGUUCUUUUUUCUUAAAGCAUACGAAGUGGAUUGUAACCCAGUGGAAGGUAGGAAGAAUUAUGUUUUAACACCAUCUGCAAUUUCUAGCAAUAAAUUCUUA